rnacentral:rRNA from 1 species
GACGAACGCUGGCGGCGUGCUUAACACAUGCAAGUCGAACGGAAAGGCCCUGCUUUUGUGGGGUGCUCGAGUGGCGAACGGGUGAGUAACACGUGAGUAACCUGCCCUUGACUUUGGGACAACUUCAGGAAACUGGGGCUAAUACCGGAUAGGAGCUCCUGCUGCAUGGUGGGGGUUGGAAAGUUUCGGCGGUUGGGGAUGGACUCGCGGCUUAUCAGCUUGUUGGUGGGGUAGUGGCUUACCAAGGCUUUGACGGGUAGCCGGCCUGAGAGGGUGACCGGCCACAUUGGGACUGAGAUACGGCCCAGACUCCUACGGGAGGCAGCAGUGGGGAAUAUUGCACAAUGGGCGGAAGCCUGAUGCAGCAACGCCGCGUGCGGGAUGACGGCCUUCGGGUGGUAAACCGCUUUCGCCUGUGACGAAGCGUGAGUGACGGUAAUGGGGAAAGAAGCACCGGCUAACUACGG